UUUCACCAAAAAUUAAUGACCAAACCCUUCCAUCCUCGUACGCACCGGCUCCCCCUUUAACACCACCGCCUCCACCACCAGCCCGCCUUCAUUCCGCCAUCUGCCACUGGCCGAAAAUUGCUGGCGGCGGUGGCGAAGCUCCAAAAGACAUCAAAAUUUCACCAUGCACUCACCUUCCUCUCCUCUUUCCAACCUCCAUAACCAUCUCCCUCGAAUCAUAACCCAACUUCUCGAAUAUUAGACCGAAGUCUCUGGCCAAAACCCAAAUUCAUCCAAACCUUGCCAAAAUCACACCAAACACUCCCUUCACUCCACUCUCCCCAAAUCCUUGAUUAGCUUCCAUCGAAUAUCACCGGUUAUGUUCGAAUUUCAAAUUUAGGGUUGGAGGUGAACUUGUUUUGGGAGUUUUCAGCUCGAUUGGUUUAAGUUUAAUGUUAUCUUCCUAUUUUUGACGAAAUAUACAAAUAACGAUAAUUGAAAAUAAUUUCGAUGAGGUAGUCAUGUGAAGUAUGAAAUUAGUAAGUUUUGUUCUUCGCCUUCCUUCUUUGUUUAGUUUUAUCUCUUCAUAAUUUUUAUUUCUAGUUCAAUUUUUGUCUAAGAUGCUUCCGUUUACAUAGUUUCCAAAGAUAACUGAUUACAUGAUUAUUUGUUUAGGAUUAGUAAUCAUAUUCAUUCUCUUCUUUUCGAGUCGAUUUUGAUGUAUUUUCCCGCUGUUGACAACCUGAAUAGAAGCUAAAAUCAAUUCUCUGCCUUGGUUCUGUCAUUUCAUUAUGUUUAAAUAAUUUUGUCAUGAUUGUGUGGUUGAACAUUGUAAUCAAAUUUAGAUUGACUGGGUUGAAAUAGGUUAUGUAAUAAUUGGACUAUAAACUAUUAUGUCUUAGCUUCAUAUAAGUUGUCUUUAAAAAUGUAGCACUAGUUGUAGUUAGUUUUUCAUUAGUUUAUUAGAUCUUGAUAACUACUGAAUGCAACUAAUUUCCUGUUAGGUAAUGGAGUGAUUCACAUAAUUAUAGUUAAUCUCCUAUUAAGUGAUUUCAUGAAUUUGAUGAAGUAGUUUUUUUCGUUAUUAAUCAGUAGUGAAAUAAGUCUGGAAGUGCUUGAAGCUAAGUCAAAUUAUUGUUGAAUAGAAUUGUCUCCUGAUCUUGGAAAUCUGGUUUGUUCACUUUUAGUUAACAAUGCGUUAUAUAGGAGUCCGCUUAAUAUAAAUGAACUAAAGACGCGAUAGGGUGAAAAUAGUUUGAAAUAGUUGUUGUUGUAUUUUCCGGAUGUUAGAACAAAUUCGAGUUUGUUAGGGUAAAUAAACUAAAAUCAAAAUUGUAAUUUCUUGUGUAAUUGUCUGGAUUGAACAUUGUGUUUGGUUUACCAAUUUGAGCUUAACAAGUUCUUUUUUCAGAGGUGUUGUCAGUUCCAUAACGAAACAGUCCAGGUCCAGCUCUAAUGAAUGUGUACGUUUGGGCCCGGGCUGAAGUCUGUGACUGUCCGAAUUUUGACAUAGGAAUGAGUGUAAUUUCCAUUCAUUGGGCUUUUUUAGGGAGCCUAAUGGUUGAAGUGUGAAACAGAAUCCUCACCUAGUCCCGUAAUAAAUUGAUUAGGCUUCUUUCUUUUUUUCUUUUAGAGACAAAAAAAAUAAAAACUUCCUAGUCACUUUAGGAUUGGCCUUAAUAAAAAUAAGACCAGCCUCGCAAAAAAAAAUACGUAAAUUGAGGGGCUCUCAAUAAAUGUUUAUAUUAAAAUACUUAGAAUUCGGAAUGGUUUAGCGAAUUUCAUGGCCUUCACCAAAGAUAAUAACACGUUAGAUACUUUAGGCGCAAUUUUAAUAAAAUUACAUUCUUAAACUCGGGUGUAAAUUUCAUUUGACACAAAUCAAAUCCCAAAAUGUUGAAUAAAAGAUGUUUCGGACUGCGGAUGCAUUUCAUGUGACGCAAUCCAACGGCACAUUUUAAAUGACGUCCAACUUUCUUUACAAAUUAAAUAAAAGCAGUUAAAAGUAAAAAUCGGCACAUAUGUUCAUCAUGUAAUAAAAUUAGAUUUAUAAGCUAAAUACGACAGUUGAGAGACCGUGCUAGAACCAUGGAACCCGGGAAUGUCUAACACAUUCUCCUAGGUUAACAGAAUUCCUUACUCGUAUUUCUGGUUCGCGGACUGUUAACAGAGUCAUAUUUUUCUCGGUUCGGGAUUCAACUGGUGAGUUGGUACACCAUUAAUCUCCUAAGUGGCGACUCUAAUAUCUUAUUAAUAAAUCAUUCCGAUUGUUAUUUAAUUGAAAAAAAUUCCUUUAUGCCCUUACGGGGUGUAGUGAAAAUGGAGGUGUGACGGAGACAACUUGUAAAAGAUGUUCAGGCCUUGGCCAAUCAGUUAAUUAGGUUAGAUGUUUUGGAGCCUUGUCAGGUUCUAGCUUGCGUUAUUUCCCGGUCUUCCUUAUAUGAUCGCAUCAUAGAACACCAAUAUGAAGAUUACAUAUUGUUUGUACUUAAUGACACAGUUCAACAUGAUGAUGCUAAUGAGGUUUCUAUUGGAGAUGAUAGGGUGUUGUGGAUGUAGGGUCGGAUUUGUGUGCCCAAUGUGGAUGCGUUAUAUGAGUUGAUUCUUAAGGAGGCCUACAGUUCAUGUAUUCCUUUUAUCCAAGUGCUGCAAAGAUGUACCACGACCUGAGGCAGCAAUUGGUGGAGGAGUAUCAAGAAGAUCAUAGUAGAAUUUAUAGCUAGGUGCUUGACUUGCUAUUAAGUGAAGUACGAGCUUCAGAUACCAGGCAGUUUGCUUUAGAGGCUUGAGAUUCCAGAGUGGAAAUGGGAGCGCAUGGACUUUGCAGUUGAUCUUCCAUAGACCUUGAAGAAGAUUGAUGCUAUUUUGGUGAUUGUGGACCGGUUGACCAACUCUGCACAAUUUAUUCCAGUUGGGACUACCUGUUCUUUGGAGCUUUUGGCUAAUAUCUAUAUCCGUGAGAUUGUUUACUUUCACAGGAUGCCAGUGUCCAUCAAUUUAGAUCGGGACACGUAGUUCACAUCGCAAUUUUGAGAGCAAUUCAGGGGGAGUGAGGAACACAAGUUUAUUAGAGUCGGAGAAAUAGUCCGAGUGCACUAUUUAGAUAUUUUAGGAUAUGCUACACAUUUGUGUCAUAGAUUUUAAGGGUUCUCGGGAUCAUCAUCUGCCUCUUGUGGGUUUUGCUAUAACAACAGCUACUGGUCGAAUAUUCAAAUGGCUACGUAUGAGGCCUUGUAUAGGCGCGCGGUGCCGGUCUCUAAUUGGUUGGUUUGAGUCAUGAGGCUAGACUAUUGAGUACUGACUUGGUUCAUGAUGCUUUGGACAAGGUUAAGUCGAUUCAGGAUCAGCUUCACACGACACUGUCUAGACCAAAGAGAUACGUAUUAGAAGGUUCGUGAUGUUACUUACAUGGUGGGGGAGAUGGCAUUCUUAGAGUUUCACUCAUAAAGGGUGUUAUGAGGUUCAGGAAGAAGGGCAAGUAUAUUGGCCCUUUUGAGGUGCUUGAGAGGAUUUGAGAGGUCACUUACAUGCUUGCAUUUCCACCUAGGCUAUUUAGUGAUCAUCUAGUAUUUCAUGUUUCCAUGCUCCAGAAAUAUUUAGGUAAUUUGUCUCAUGUUUUGGACUUCAACACGGUUCAGUUAGAUCGGGAUUUGACUUAUGAUUUGAAGCCAAUGGCCAUUUUGGAUCAGUAAGUUCGGAAGUUGAGGUCAAAGGAUAUAACUUCAAGGAAGGUUUAGUGGAGAGUUCAGCCAGUCGAGGAGGCUACUUGGGAGACCGAGAAGGCUAUGGAAAAAAGAUAUCAACACCUAUUUGAGACUCCAGGUAUAAUUCUAGACUAGUUCAAGGAAGAAUAUUUUUUUAAGAGUGGGAGAAUGUAACGACCCCACCAAUUGUUUUGUGUGCUGUAGUCCUCUUCCCCUAUUUAUUUCAUAUUUUGUGUUCAUUUGUCAUUAGCUGACUUACCAGGGUGGUUGGUUUGGUUCAGGGGAUCUUUUGGAAUAAAUUGGGACACUUGGCCUCAUGGUUGGAAGCCUAAGUUGAAAGAGUUAACUGUAAGUUGACUUAUGUGUAAAUUACUCCGAAAUGGAGGUUUGAUAGUUCUGAUAUCUCUAUAUGGUGAUUUUGAACUUAGGAGUGUGUCUGGACAUUGAUUUGAGCGUUUGUAGAUGAUUUUGGCUUGAAUUGGCGAAAGUUGGAAAAGUUAAAUUGUGGAGAGUUGUGAUGUUUGAUUGAGAGUUGACUUGGUGGUUAACGGUCUUGAAUCUUGGUUUCAGAAGUUGGAAUAUGUUCAUUGUGUCAUUUAUGACUUGCAUGCAAAAUUUGAGGUCAAUCGAAGUUCGUUUGAUAGGUUUAGGCAUCGAUUCUAGAAGUUGGAAAUUAGUUAGUUUCAAUAUGCUUGAAUUGAGGUACAAUUCGUGGUUUUUAUGUUCUUUGGCGUGAUCUGAGGUUUUGACUAAGUUUGUAUCAUUUUUAUGAAUUUUUGGUAUGUUUGGAUGGGGUCCUGGGGGACCUCGAACGAAUUGAAAUUUGGAUUUGGAAAAUUGCUAAGAUUGCUAAACUUCUGGUUUGUUCGCACCUGUGGUGGGAGUGGCCGCUAAUGCGAUGCCAUAGGUGCAGAAAUGAGUGGGGUACACUGGUUCCGCAAAGCGUGAAAGUAUCUGCAGAAGCGAAAUUUCUUUUGUGAUGAAAGGAAGCACAUAAUCGGGUAUGGUUGCAUGUGCAACAUUUCCUCCUUAGGCACAUGUGCGCAGAUGCUGGCAUAUUUUUGCUGAAGCGGAGCGGAUGGUCUUGAGUGGGAUGCGCAUGUGUGCUCAUUUUUCUGCAGCAGCUAUUCUGCAAAAGCAGACCUCCUUGUUGCAAAACCAGAAUUGCUGGGCAGUUAAGGUGUAUUCAAGGGUUUGAAUUCAUUUUCAUCUUUUGGACCUAGAGAGCUCGGUCUGUGAUGAUUUUUCGAGGGACUUUCAAGGAAAUCUUCGGAGUAAAUGAUUCUAACUCGAAUUUUGCUGUUACACAUGAAUCCAUCAUUAUUUUUUUCAUUUAAUUAGUGAUAUGAGUCUGAAAAUUUGUGGGGAAAUGGUCAAACUUCUUAGGCUGAAUUUCGGGGAUUUAAGGUCGGAUUUGAAUAAUUUUAGUAUGGUUGAACUCAUCAUUAAAUGGGUUUUGUAUAUUUUGUUGGAUUCGAUACGUGGGCCUGGGGUUGAAUUUUAUAAUUUGGUUAAAUACAUUAGCUUUAUCAUUUGGAGUCAAUUCCUAUAGCUUCUAUUGGUAGUAUUAUAUAAUUUUUUGAUAUAUAUGAGCCUUUCGACAGUCGAUAUGCGUGGGAAGGGCUUGCUAGCGGAGUGAUUUGAUUUGUUUGAGGUAAGUAUCUUAUUUAAACUCGAUUGAGGCACUAGUUGGCUGAAUUGUUGUGAUAGCUACGUUCUAUUGGGUGCGCACAUGCGUGGGGAUGAACCCACAUGAGCACAGGGACUAUUUAUUCGUGUUUGGGUUGUGCUCGGGUUUUUAUAAGCCUAAAAUUGACUACUAUGCUUUAAGAUAUGAUAUUUCUCAUAUUUGUAGCAUUGUGUGAACUAUUUGAGCCACGUUUGAGUCUACAUAGAGGUUUGAACUAUGAUAAAACACUUCGCACAUGCCUACACUUUAGCAUGUCAUUUAUACCAGUCCAGGAGCAUGCGAUAUCUUAUGCACUUAUCACAUAAACGCAUUCUUAUUUAGUUGCUUCUGUAUGAUAUAUUUGGACAAGAGACAUGUAAGCACGCCAGGCGAAUUGUGUUAUUGUGCCUGCGACCACACCCCGCAGAUUAUGUUAUUGCCACUUGAGUUGUCCGUGUGGAUCCAUAUAUUUAUGUUAUUAGAAUGUGAGUUAUCCGUACUAGUUUUAUUAUAAGCACGCGAGUUGUCCGUGUAGCUUGUGGAUACGAAUCCAUCCCCUAGUGUCACCCUAUCAUGUUUCUCUCUUGAUGAUGUACACACAGAUUGUCACGACCCUAGUUCACCAAUCGUAAACCUGUCAUGGUGGCACCCAGUCUUCGCGACUAGGUAUGCCUGACACACUGCGGAAAUUCAAAAAAACUUUGCUGAAACGAUAAAUAAAACAUGAAAGUAUAAGAUAAUGUAUAGAGUGUCGCCUGGCACAUACAUGUCAACUCAAAAAAUGUAAAAACCUCCAAGACCCGGAAACCCACGGGCAAAUCCCGUACUACUAGGACAGUCAAGAUCAGCUGGGAACACAUCGGGGAAAUCCCGUACUACUAGGACAGAGUCAAUAGAAGGGUAUCAUCACUGACAUCUCUCACAUAGGCUAAAUAUGUAGCACACCCCUUCUCAACCAUACAUUGAGCUUUAAGAAAAGAUAUAUCUCUACUGGGACUGUGAUAAAAAGUACCACUCCACUCAAUACGAGGAAUACCUGGCAUAGCCAGCAUCAUGGUCUUAGCGUGACAAUCAAGAAUAGCAUAAUGGGGAGACAACCAGUCCAUGCCUAAGAUAAUAUCAUAAAUCGACCAUAUCAAAUAACAAGAGAUCAGCCUUGGUCUCAAAACCGCAAUAGUAACCAAACACUACUGAUACACACAGUCCACAACAAGAGAAUCUCUCAUGGGAGUGGAAACAUAAACAGGAAAACAACCAGUCCAUGCCCAAGAUAAUAUAAAAAUCGACCAUAUCAAGUAACAAGAGAUCUACCCUGGGCUCGAAACCACGAAUAGCAACCAAACACGACCGAUACACACGGUCCACAAUAAGAGAAUCUCCCACGGGAGUGGAAACAUAAACAUGGGAGCUCAAGGCCUCUCGGGCUAUACCUAAAUGCGGAGCAAAAUAAGAUCACAUAAUAAUAAGUAGAGCCUGGAUCGAAUAGAACCGAUGCCUCUCUGUGACUAACCAAAAUAAUACCUGUGAUAACAGAAUAAGAGGGGAAAGCCUCGACACGAUCAGGAAUGGCAUAAAAUCGGGCUCGGCCCCUACCUCGAGGGCAACCUCUAUCUCCCUGAUCCCUGCCUCUGGCUGGCUGGGCAGGUGGGGUGGCAGCUGGAGCUGGAAAAAUGGCUUGCUGACCCUGUGGAGCAUGCUGGGGCUGUGGAGUCUAAGAAGUCACACCCCUACCACGUCAGGGGCACUCUCUAACCAAGUGGCAGGUAUCCCUGCACUCAUAACAAGCUCUAGAAAGGCGCGGCGGUUAGGACUGACUCGAUCCACCCCUGCUGGACUGACCUCUGGAGGUGCCCUGUGCAGGAGGCACACAAGACACCGGGGGUGCAUAGUAAGGCUCCUGAGAUCUGGGAGGAGCUGGAGUAUUGCUGGGUGAAGGAAGAGCUGAGUGAACUGGCGACCCAUAUAGCCCCUACCAUGACCUCCUGCUCCUGAAGUAUGGGUACCAGAAAAAUGACCAGAUUCUCGAGACCUCUUGGCCUCUCCCUCCUCUCUCUCUCUAGCAUGCAUAUCCUCUAUCCUUCUGGCUAUACUCACCAUGUGCUGAUAGGGUAUAUCCAUCUCCAACUCUCACACCAUGCCAGACCUGAUGGAAGGAAUAAGGUUCUCAAUAAACCUACGAACCCUCUCACAAUAGUAGCAACCAAAGUAGGCACAUGCAUGACGAACCUAGUGUAACAGAUGGCAUACUCAGAAACAGUCAUAGGGCCUUGGUGCAAGUGCUCAAACUCUACACGCCAUGCAUCUGGGAGGCUCUGGGGAAAAAACUCCCUCUGAAACAUAUCUGAAAACUAGGUCCAAGUCAGGGAGGAAGCCUCGUCCGGACUGUAUAGCCCAAAAGUGCGACACCACUCAUAGGCGGCUCCCCGAAGCUGAAAAGCUGCAAAGGAAACCCCACUCGAAGAAGUAAUACCCAUGGUACGAAAAAUGCGGUGAAAAUCCACCAAAAAAACCCCAAGGCAUCAUCUGUAGCUAGUCCACUGAAAAUAGGAGGAUCAUACUUCUUGAACCGCUCCAGUCUACGCUAAUCAUCCUCCGAAGCAGGUGCGCCAUCCUCGAGUUGAAUUGGUACUGCAGGCUGGGCAGGAUAACAUCUGGAAUUGGUCCCAUAUGCACCCUCUACUCUGGGGUGCGGCUGCGGGAGUCUGGGCUCCUCCCUAGACCUGGGACAUAGCUGCAGGAAGUGGAAGCAACCAUGCAUGCCACAACGUGGUAUACAUACUCAUAAACUGUGCCAAUGCCUCCUGAACAGCUGGAGUAGUAGUGGUUGUGGGCGUCUCUGUUGCCUGAGUCCUAACUAGGUGUGCUGGUGGCACCUCGGCGGCUACUCGCAUAGGUGCCCUGGCUGCACCCCGCGCACGUCCAUAACCCCUGCCCCGGCCUCUUCCCCUAGCUCCUACAGGAGGGGGUGCGGGUGUCCGGUCGUUCGGGUCGUGCGUGUCUUCACCAUCUGUGAGAGAAUAGGAAACAAUAGUUUAGAAUUGAGGUAAAAGACAUAGCACGACAAGAAUUCAAAUGAAGUGAAGAUUUUCCUAAAACAGUUACAUAGCCUCCCGUAGAUAAGUACAUACGUUUCCGUACCGAUCAGCGAGACUCUAAAUAACCGGAAUGUGUCCCGUGACUCCUAUGAAACUAGAGCUCUGAUACCAACUUGUUACGACCCUAGUUCACUAAUCGUGAACCUGUCAUGACGGCACCCAGUCUUCGCGACUAGUUAAGCCUGACACACUGCCAAAAUUCAACAAAAUUUUGCAGAAAAGAUAAAUAAAACAUGAAUAGCAUAAAGAUAAUGUAUAGAGUGCCGCCUGGAACAUACAUGUCAACUCAAAUAACGUAAAAAUCUCCAAGACCCGCAAACCCAUGGGCAACACAGGCUAAGAGUAAAGUAUAACACAUGGCUCUAAAAUCCAGAAGUGUCUACAACGAGAGAAUACAUAGAUAAAACAAGAGAACAGAGGGGGAAUCUUCGCCUCGCGGCAAAUGCAUACUUCAGAUCUCCGAGUAUAGCUCCUAAUCACUGAUAACACGCCCGAUCAAGAGUACUUGGAUCUGCACAACAAAAGUGUGCAGAAGAGUAGCAUGAGUACACCACAUCGGUACUCAGUAAGUGCCAAGCCUAACCUCGAUGGAGUAGUGACGAGGAAGGUCGUGGCCCUACUGAGAAGAACAUAAGAAAUAAUGUAAAAAUAACUAAAUAGUAGAUAAUGAAAUAAAUCCGAAUAUCUAACAAGACAGUAAUUAAAAACAUAGCGAAUACAAGUACAAACUACAAACACAAAGCAAAUCACCCAACAGUCAGGAUCUCUACAUGGAGCUCCGACGAUCGAACCCGCAGUCCACCUUAUCAAUAUCCGAGGAUCUCCGGGAAUUGAAACCGCAGUCCUUCAUACCAAUAUCAGAGGAUCUCCGAGAAUUGAACCCGUAGUCCUUUAUACCAAUAUUAGAGGAUCUCCGGGAAUUGAACCCGCAGUCCUUUAUACCAAUAACAGAGGAUCUCCAGGUAUUGAACCCGCAAUCCUUUAUAUAAAUAUCAGAGGAUCUCCCAGGAAUUGAACCCGUAGUCCGUCAUGCCAGAUCAGAGGAUCUCUCGGGAAUUGAAUCCGUAGUCCAACAUAGCAAUAAUAGAGGGAUCUCCCGAGAAUUGAACCCGUAGUCCCAAACUUAAGCACUUCACAACAAGCCAAUAUUUAGCAGAAAGAAAUUAAAUAUAGCAACAAUGUAUAGGUCUAGGCCUAGCAUGCUCACGAAAAGAACAUGUAUUUGCAAUUUGGUCAGAUAGAGCAAAUAAAUUACUAACAUGCGUUUCCUAAGCUAAGCAAGUGAAAUCACAUUUUUAACAGUUAAAUACGCGAAGAAACACUGUCUAAAUAAGUCAAGUAAGGUGAAUUUUCAACAAUUAGCACAAGUAAAUGCCCGUCACCUCGCGCACAAGGCCUUUAAACAACAAUUAAUGUAUCCUAAGGGGAGAGGUCCCCCACACAAUGUUAGACAAGCCACUUACCUCGAAUUGGUACAAAAAUCGCUAAGAAUCGAAGCCCUUACCACGAGUAUCCGACGCCGAGUGGCCCAAAUCUAUUCAAACCAAUACAUAUUGUAAAUAACAUGGCAAGUAAUUAAUUCCACUAUUAAAAGGCCCAAAUCUAUUUAAACCAAGUACAUAUUCUAAAUAACAUCGCAAGUAACAAAUUACACUGUUAAAAUUAAAGCUAAGGCACGAAAUUAGGUAAAAUGACUAAAAUGCCCCUCAGUCCAACGUCCCAGAAUCGAAUAAUUUUUACAUUUUCAGAACGUCGUACUCUCACGAGUCUAACCAUAUAAAAAAUCUCCCAAAUCAGAGGUCAAACGCCCCUUCAAAUCAUCAAAGUUACGUCUAAGAACUUUUCUCCAAUUUUCAUUCAAAAUCCGAAAUUAAAUCUUGAAUGUGAGAUUAGAUUAGUGGGUAAUAAUCAUAAGGGAGUAAGGAAUCCUUACCCAAUUGUUGCUCUGGAAAACCCUCAAAAAAUCCCCUAAAACCAAGCUUCCUAGCUUGAGGUUUUGUAAAAAUGGAAGAAAACCUCGUUUUUGAAAUAUAAGUACUGGUCAGGUAUCAAUGCAUCGCGAACGUGUAGGGUCCAACGCGCUUGCAUAGAGGAAAAUGAAAGUGACCAGAUACUACCCUUCGCGAUCACAUAGGAAUGAAUGCGAAUACAAAGGUUUUGGCCUGAAAGGUACGCGAACGCAGCCACGAACACACAAACGCGUAGAAGAACAGAAGGGGGGUCCAAGACGUGAACAUCGCGAACGCGGGUGUUGAGGACGCGAACGCGGAAGAGUGGUUGACUGAGCUUUACGAACGUGGGGAUAUGCACGCGAACGCUAUGAAGGGGGAGGGUGAAGCUACGCAAGCGCGUACAGGAAAUCCCUGACUGCAAUUUCUGCUUCAAAUUUGAAUCUCUAAUUGCUCCGUUGAGCAUCCGAAACACACCCGAGGCCCCCGGUACCACGACCAAACCUACGGACAUCUCCCAUAACAUCAUUCAAACUUGUACCAAUCCUUCACCUAAAAUAACCCCGGAAACUCGAAUUUAUCAAUGAUUUGAACUUAAAAACUUCAAAACUAAACCAUACUCGCUUUCGAUUCAAAACCUAACCAAAUAACGUCCGAUUGACCUAAACUUUUACAGGCAUGUCCCAAAUGAUAUGAGGGUGCUACAGAAACUUCUAGAAUCCCAUUCCGACCUUCGGAUCAAAAUUUCACUAUCGGACCGGAAACUUCAAAAUUCUAACUUUCGGCAUUUAUAGCCUAAAUGAGCUACGGACAUCCAAAAUACUUUCCGAAAACGCUCCCAACCUUGAAAUCACCUAACGGAGCUAAUGGAACCAUCGGUUUUCCAUUCCGAGGUCGUCUUGACACUGUUCUGAUUACGGACCAUUCCCCAACACUUAAGCUCUCAUUUAGGAACUAAGUGUACCAAAACACUCCGAAUUCUAUUACCGAACAUCCCGGCAAACCAAAAUAGUAGAAAUGAACUUAGGAAAAGUAGAUAAUGGGUGAACGGGGCAUGAAUUCCAAAGAUGACCGGCCGGGUCGUCACACAGAUACUGGAAACAGUUAUGAAUUUCAUUAAUUAUGUUGCAUUCAUUAUCAUGUUUUGGCUUGCCUAGCUGGUGUAUUAGGCUCCGUCACGACAGGUUGGGAUUUUUGGUCGUGACACUUCUCUAGUAUCCUUAGCCUUUCUAUCAUUUUUCUAGUUUCUGUUGCGCUUGAAGCUUGAUCUAUUUGUAACACUUAAUUCUGCUACAAAGGCACUAGGUACCACUUUAGCAGCACGAAACCUCUUAUCUUCAAGCUCCAGAUUACGGUCAACAUUGGUAAACGUUUUGAUACUAUCAUUGUGUGUCAAGUAACCUUUAGAUGUUCUCAAUUAUUGGAAAGAGACUGAAUCACUACCUGAAUCUUCUAAUCAUAAAUGUAACGACCCGAUCGAUUAUUUUGAGAUUUAGCAUUCCAUUCGGUGGUUUGAGACUUUGAGUAGCUUUAUGUCAUAUGUUAUGACUUGAGUGUAUGGUUGGUUUCAAUUUUCAAGUGGUUUGAUAUUUAUUUGGAAUAUGAUUCUCAUUUUAGAAGAUUUAAAUUGGAAAACUUAACCAAAGUUCGACUUUUGUCCAAAACGUUCGGUUAAACGCUGAUGAGUUUUGGAUAAGUCUGGGUUUUAUGGUGAUUGUUUUUGGUUUCGAGGUAUUUAACCAUAAAACUUACCAUAUUGUGCAAAUGGCCUUUAAUUCCUGUUUCGACUACACCAUUAUAUCCAUAUCAUAAUUUUGGAACUAUAACAACUGAAAUUGUCAAGUUUUGACAUCAUAUGAAGAAAUUAUGGUCAUGUUACUAAGAAUUGAGUUACGAGAUUUUUAUAUUAAUAACGAAAUUGCUACUGAAUACAUAUAUAAAAAUUUGCAUUAUUAUCAAAUAUUAAAACCAACAUAUCUUUUUAAUUAUAAGGUCAAAUGGAGUGAUUUAAAAGCUUAACUUGAUUGAAAUUUCACAAGUAAUCCAUUGAAGGCAUCAAAAGCACGUUUGAGGUCAUUUCACGCAAGAAACAAGGAAUAACAACUGGACGUGUUUUACUAUUAAUGUUGUUGGAGUUUUUCUCAUCUUGAACGUUUGAGAUUGGGAGAAUUCAAGGAUGUUUUUCAAAUUUAUUUCAUGGGAUAAGGUCUAUUCUAGAAUCUAAAUAUUUUCCUUUGAUUCAUUCCCUUGGUUUAAGAUUUAAUCUAUGAUUUAAUAGGAAACUCAUUUAAUUCUUUAAAUCAAGACCUAGGGUUAUGUCUUAAAUUUUAAAAAUUGAAAAUUAAUUAGAGGCGUUAUUUCCUUAUUCCUUUUGGGGUCUUUCGGAGAACAACAUACUAAAAUUUGGUAAGUUCUGGAGGAGUAUUUUAGGAGAUAUGGGACCUUACUAGUGUGGCUGGACUCUUGGUUAUGAACACCCAAGAGCAAUGUUUUGGCGAAUUGGUUGAGCUUUCAGACUCUGAUUGAGUCGGAUUUUAGUUGUGUGAGCUUGUAUUGAUUAUUUAUCAGAAGCUUGUGAUUAGCUUUUGACGAAACAAGUAGGGGAAACCAAUUAUUUAUUGUUGGUACCAAAAAUAAAGCAGCUGAUUUAGUAGAGUGGGAUGGAAUAAGCACCCGAUGUCAUUAUGUUCAUAAAAAGUUGCUUGGUGGUAUGUUAAGGAAUUGAUCCACUACCACAACAAGACUUUAUAAGUUCAGGGACUUGAAAAUGGAAUAAAAAAUAGAGAGACUCAACCGUCUCCCGAAAAGAGAUGCAUCUAUAUUGAAAAUACAAUUAUCUCGCUACGACUUCGCUGGGGUAAGCUUGGAUUCGGAAUCCAAUGCAAGUUGGUUUUGAAUUUUGUUGACUUUUUGGGAAAAACUUAAUGAUCAUAAUUUUACUUAUUAUAAUUAGUUUCUCUUGCAUUGUUUGAUGUUAUUAAGUGAUAUUUUUUAGAUUUAAGCCGCGUGGAGGCAAUUUUUUAAGGAAAAGAUAUUUCAGAGGGUUGAGUUAGCCUCAUUUAGGAAAAUAUUUUACCUAACUUUAUGUGGAAAAAACUAUGCCUUAGGACUUGGGUUGAUUGUGCUAUUUGUGAUAUGUGAAAGUCGUGUAGUCUUGGUGACGAGUGGGUACACUGGCUAUAUGUCGUAUUUGAACGAUUUAUAUUAUAUAGACUCUUUCUAUGCCUUUAAUUGAAUUGUCAUAACAUAUUAUAUCCCUCAUUGUUAAUCUACUCCUACAUGCUUUAUUUGACAUUGUUAGCACUUGUUCUACCUCUUACUUAUUAUUUUGCUCUUAUAUGCUUUAGUUGAAGUUAUUACCUUCCUUAUUGUCUUGUUACCUCUUAAUUAUUGAAUCACUUUUAAUUGAAGUGAUUAUUUAAUGGAAUAUCAUCUUAUUGAGUUAUUGGUGUUGAAGUUGUAAUAGUCGUUAUGACAUUGAUGUGAAGUUGUUAAUUGUUGAGAUACCUUUUCUUGUUCAGAAUUCCCAUUUAUUUUGUUAUUGUUAAAAUUUUUGUACACAUUAUGGUUGAGCUAUGUGCUAUUUGUUACGAAAUAUUGGUGUUGUUGACUCUGUGGCAAGUUGUGGCAUAUGGGCCCUUAUGGUGCAAGUUGUGAUUGUGUUGUGAUUUUAAUAUGGAUGCGAUGGUAUAAGUCUAGGGUUGAUACGCAUGUGGUAAGACAAGAUGAGCUUGAUAUGAUGUUAUGAUUUUGGGAUCUACUUGAAGCAACUUGGUGAGAUGAGGUGGGCUAAAACACGUGCAGAUAUUGUUGGAAAAAUAAUUUCAAGACUAAAUGUAAUCUCACGCGGUGAUAUAUGGAAAGAUUGUUAUUGAAAUUGUGAAAUGUGAAUACGAAGCGGUGCAUCGGUUGUGAUUUUUAUUGUACAUUCCAUGAUGGAAAAACUUGUUCAUUUGAACGGUAAUUGUUCUUGCUUCAAUCAUUAAUCUGUAUUUUGAUUGUGUUUGGUUAUUCGUUGUUAUCAUGAUGUUGGAACGAUUGUGAUUUCUUGUGUAAGUCAUGUAUUCUGCAUGAUUUAUUUUGUUGCUUUAACAUUCCAGCUUUUAUCUCCAUUUUGAUUGUCAAUCUGAAUUUAAUAGCGUGGAUACACAAUAUCAUAUUCUAUUGAGUUUUUGUUAAUAUAAUGAUUUAAAUAAAACAAUCUUUAGCAAGCUUUAUUCUAUGUUCCUUUUAAGAUAUAACUCGUUAUCUCACUCGGUGCCUUAUUAUUCUAAAUAGUUAGUACACUUUUAUUAUAAUUAGAUUCUCAAAUUAUACUUAUCACCCAGUUAAACAUUUACCUUAAUUAAAAUUGUUAUCAUAUUUUUCCUCAAUAAAUUCUAUAUUUAAUUCUUCAAUUCAAAUUUUGUUUUAUUUUGUUUGAAAAUAAUAUUUUUACUCAAUUUAAUUGAUUUAUGAACUAAACACAUCUUAUACUCUGUUUCAUACAUAUUAUUUAUUAUUUUACUUUAACUGAUUUCUAAAAUAAACUUAUUAUUUCAUUUGAUACCUUACUUUAUUUAAGAUUGUUAUUAUAUUAUAUGUUGUUUAAAUGUAUAUUUCGUUCAUCUAAAUUAAUUUAUCACGGUUGCAAAAUAUAUAGUAGCACGUGGGAUUUAUCGUGGAAAUAUGAUUGUUAUUAUGGGUAUGAGGUACCAUAUGUGUAAGAUUUAGAAAAUGUGGUUCAUGACUUGUGGUUUAUGAGGUGUGGUGCCUCGGGGUAAUUCUUGUUGCAAGUCCAUGCGUUGUGAGCGAUUUGAUUACUUUGAUUUUUCAUCUGUUUGUCCUUAUUUGAGUUCAUUUACAUCUCAUCAGUAUUCUGAUUGUAUUUUAUUUUUAUUAUUCGUUUACUACUUGCUGCCAUUGACGUCUCUAUUACUUUACUGUUAGUUGUAAAUCAAUAAUUUUUCUAUUGUUGGUCUUAGAUUGAUGUUCUUUCUAUUGUUAGGUUAUAUAUAUCUUGAACAAAAUUCUAUGUCUAGUAGAUCUCUUGACUUGUCCUCGUCACUACUGCAUCGAGGUUAUGCUUGAUACUUACUGGGUACCGUUGUGGUGUACUCAUGCUAUGCUUGUGUAUAUUUUUCUGUGGAUCCAGAUAUUUCGAUUGUAUUGUUGAGAGUUGCGUAUGCAUGCCGGAAGACAUCAAAAUAGACCUCCUUGGUGUUCGCAGUCCUCGGAGUCACCAUCUUACUUUAUUGUGCUACUGUUAAAUUGUAAUUCAAAAAAGUAUUAUGUUUAGAAAUUCUAGUGUGUUUUUGUAAAGCUUAUGAUUCGUACUACCGAUUUUGGAAAGUUAUAACAAUUGGUUGCUUGCAGCUAUGUAUGUCAUUUAAUGGUUUAUGAUAAAAGAUUAAAUAGUUCAUCUCUAUUAUUAAAUUUUCAUGUGUUAGGCUUACCUAGUCUUAAAGACUAGGUGUCAUCACGAUAUCGUAAGGUGAAAAAUUAGGACAGUGAUAAUCACAGAGAAAAUGACUAGCACUUUUGAGUUGAUGUGAGCACGUGAUUUUUUCCCAAUCCAAAAUACUCCAACAAAUCGAAAAUAGAUUUUUUGUAAUUUAUUUUUAUUUCAUAGAAUUUUUAGGAAUAUUUGUUUAUUUAUGUGCAUUUGUUUUUGCAUGCACUAAUGCAUAGAAAAUACCCAAAAAUUAUAUUCGAAUUUCAUGCAUUGGAUUCUUAGUUUGGUUACUGCAUUUUAGUGUAAUUGUUAAUUAAUCACAUCAACGAAACAAAAUCAAAAAAAUACAUGCAUAAUAUUGUUCCAUUUUUUAGUUCUAGUUUUAGUAUUUUUCUUUUAUUAGGUAUUAAAUCAAUUAAUUAUUUUGGUAUUAGAAUUAGCCAAUUAAAUUAAUUUAUUAUUAGGUAUUUCAUAAGAUUUAAUUUAAAAUCUUUGUGUUAUGUAAUUAGUAUUAAUUUCAAUUCAUAUUUAAUUAAAUUUGAGUCAAAAAUAGAUAUAAAAAAAAAGAGAAGGGUUGUUUUGGACUCUACGUGGGCCAAAUGUGUUAAGCCCAAUUGAUUUCAAUCCAGUUUCGCCCAAGCCAAUCCAUGCCCGGUCCAGGACCUCCUUAGAGGCCAAACGAUGCUGUUUGGUGACAUUCCAUCUUAUCCGUUCAUCAGAUCCAAUCUAACUGAUGUGACGACCCGUUCCAUCUUUCACGUGAGUUACCUCCCUGUUUCCCCUCCAAUUAUGUUUCUUUGUGAUCCCAUAUCAGUAUUUGAGUUGAUCGGGUAGGUCUGGAUUGGUUUUGAUGAAAUGAGACACUUAGUCUCUUAAAGGAGAACUUUUUUUGGAAAAGUCAAGUGGAAGUUGACUAUUGGGUUAGAGGUCUCGGAUGUGGAUUCUAAUGACUCAGUUAGCUUCGGGGGAUAAUUUUUGACGUAGGAGUGAAAUCAGAAUUUAAUUUGGAGUUCCGGAGUAGAAUUAGGCUUGAAUUGGCUAAGUUUGAAUUUUGGAAGAUUUCGGUUGAUAGGUGAGAUUUUGAUCCAAGGGUGGGAAUGGCAUUUCGAGAGUUUUAGCAGCUCCGCUAGGUGAUUUUUCAUAUGCGUGCAAAGUUUCAGGUCAUUCGGAGGUGUUUACAUUGGGUUUUUGAUAAAAAAUGCAACUAAGAAUUUAUUGGGAAAUUUAGGCUUUGAUUUUAUCAUAAUUGAAGAUUUUGAUGUUAACGUUAGCGUUUUGAUGAUUCGAGGGAGUUAGGAUGAAGCAUUAGGACUGGUCUGUGCUUUUGGUUGGGCCCCGGGGGCCUCAGGGUGAUUUCGGGUGGUUGAGCGGAGGUUUUUGGAGUUUGUUGCAUGAAAAGAGAUAUGACUUCUGGUAUUUCCGCAUCUGCAGAAAAGGAGCAGCAAAGCGGUUCCGCAGAUGCGGCUAGGUCCAUCGCAAAAGCGGCCAAGAGGGGGCCUGGGAGGUUACCGCAAAAACGGACUUGGAGUCGCUUCUGCGGAGGGAAGCCGCAGAAGCGGAAGAAGGGGUCCGCAGAAGCGGAAGCUUGAUCGCAAAAGCGGAAGGCGUGACUUAAAGGAAAAACUGCAAAAGCGGUCGUAAGGGCGCAUAAGCAAUCCCACAAAAGUGUUUAUGGGACCGUACAAGUAGAAAUUGCUGAGGGUUUAAAACAGUUAAUUCAUUCCAUGAGUUCAUUCAUAACUUCCUCCAUUUUUUACCAUCUUAUGAGCUUUUUGGUAGCGAUUGAAGAGGGUUUUAACGGAAAUUGAUUGGGGGUAAGUCUUGUGACCUAGAAACGUCAUUUUUGAUAAGAAUCAACCUUAAAUUCAUGGAAAAUUUGGGAAAAAAACCUUGAAGAACUACGACUUGAGUUUUUGAAUUCUAAUCGCAAGGUGAGCUAGGAUUUUGGCUGGUUUGAGGUGAGUAAUGGUUGUAAAUGAUAUACUGAGAGUUUGGAACCCCAUAUUUGCACUAUGGGAUGCUAUGUUGAGAUGAAACACGCACCGUGUGAUGAGCGUGGUGAUGUUACUGCUAGGGAUUCAGACUUGGUCCAUCCCAACUGAUGACUUACUGUACCUUUUGACCGAGACGGAGCUUAUAUCUGCAUAACUUGGGCUAGUUUCCAGGGUUUGGGGCCUUGUGCUGAUCUGUAGAACCUUUAGGGAGCAUGUUGAACGGAUUGACCUCACCAUACCUACUGAACUCAUACUCUCAGUCCUGUCAUCAACUGUGAAUCAUGAAAUAAACCGGACUUAGUAAUUCGUACCUUAAAUGAGAACCUAGGGUUGAAUACCCUGUCUUAGCUGAGUGGGCCAAGAGGCGAAGUCUAUAUUGACUGAGAGGGGCCAUAGAACCCUUAAUGAUGAUAUUGUAUAUAUACCGGAUCGGGCUGCACGCCGCAGCAGUAUAUGCAUAUACAUGUAUCGAAUAGGACUGCACGCCACAAUAGUAUAUUAUAUAUGGAUCAGACACAAUAUCGCAGUGAUAUAUUGUAUGGAUUGGACUGCACGCCGCAGUGAUAUAUUAUAUGGUUCGGACUGCACGUCGCAAUAUUAUAGCGCUUAGGCUGAAGGAGCCCAUCCGGAGUCUGCACACACCUCUAGUGAGCGCAGUCGACUAUAUUUAUUGGAUUGGGCUGCGCGCCAUAGUAUUAUAUAUAUAUAUAUAUAUAUAUAUCGGGCUGCGUGUGGUAGCAGUAUUAGCAGAAAUUGUCGCACAGAUAGAGGAGUUUUAUCAGUUUCUUUUCCCUGCUUAGUACAUAUUUACUGCCUUCAUUACUGAUUUUUGAACUGUGUCGUGUUCCUACAAGAUUUCAUUAUUUCCAGUCGUUAUUUAUUGCUAUUACUCACUGAGUUGGAGUACUCACUCUACUCCCUGCACCCUGUGUGCAAAUACACGGAUCCCGGAGGCUUACCUGUGAUUAUCUGCUGCUGUUCAGUUCAGUACCAGAGUUAUCGAGGUAGUUGCUGGCGUCCGUAGUACCCGAUUACUCCUCAUAUCUAUCUUUUUCUUUCGCAUCUAGAUUUUCUUGUAUAGGAUAUUGAUCAGUUGUAUCUAGAGGCUCUGACCUGCGACGCCGGAUCUUUUGGGCUGUUAUUACUUUUGUUAUGGUUUUCGCAUUGUUCCUAUUAAUAUUAAAUUGUGACUUUAUGUUAAACUUGGUAUUUUAAGUUAAUGAUUUGGCUGGAAAUGUUCGAAUGGUCGGUCUUGCCUAACAAGGUAUUGGGCGCCAUCACGAUCGGGGUUUGGGUUGUGACAAGUUGGUAUCAGAGCCUAUGUUGCCAGGCCUCGCGAGUCAUGAGCUGGUUUAGUAGAGUCUUGCGGAUCAGUACGGAGACGUCUGUACAUAUCCUCGAGAGGCUGCAAAACCAUUAGGAAAAACUUCAUAUCUUUGAAAUUCUUAUCGUUCGACUUUGUUGAUCGGAGGAUACAACAUUUGUAUUCUAUUCUCAAGUAGAUGGCGAGGGCGCGUGCGAUCAGGCGUGGCGGACGACCGCAAUUGCUACAAACUAGAGGCCGAGGACGCGGCCAUGGUUGUGGUCGAGGCAGAGCAGCAGGGGCAGUGCCAGUUGCCCCCACUCAGGAUCAGCCUCCAGCUGUAGAGGUUUCAGCAGCACCUGCUGAGGCACCAACUGUGCCUAUUGUGAUUCUGGGUCAUUAGGAGGCCCCGUCUCAGAUUUUAUCGGUUUGCACUAUCCUGGCUCAAGUAGUCUCGACCACUACUGCCGCAGCUACAUCUCAAACCGUGGGUGGUCAUCAGACCCCUGCAGCUCGCACUCCUGAUAAGUAUGUGCAGGUUUUGCAUACACCGGAGGCACCACUGGUUCAGCCAGUUGCCCCAGUUUAGCUAGUUGUUCGGGUUCAGGGUGAUGGAGUACUACUGAUGCCAGAUGACGAGCAGCGUCUUUGAGAGGUUCAGCAGGAUUUCACCUCCUACUUUCAGUGGUAUUCCGGGCGAGGAUGCCCAGGGGUUUCUCGACAAGUGUCGACGCAUACUUCAGACAGCAGGGAUCUUAGAGAUGAGCGGGGUAUCUUUUACAACUUUUCAGUUCUCAGGAGCAGCCUUUACAUGGUGGGAGGCAUAUGAGCGGCAUAGGCCGGUAGGUGUAGCACCGUUGUCUUGGCAGCAGUUCUCCACUAUCUUUCUGAAGAAGUGGGUACCACAGUCGCAGAUGGAGGAGUUGCGCAUGCACUUUGAGUGGCUACGUUAGGGGGAUAUGUCUGUGACACAAUAUGAGGUGAGAUUCUUAGAGUUAGCUCGUUAUCUCCGUGGAUGGUUCCGACGGAUCAGGAGUGGAUCAGAUGAUUUACUGAUAGACUCAUUUAUCCCAUCCGUAUUCUGAUGACUCGAGAGUGGGUCCUGAGCCAUACCUUUGAGGAGGCAGUGGAUAUAGCUUAUGAUAUUGAGACGACUUGCCGUCUGGAGAGAGAGAAGAGGAGACCAAGAGGCCUUGAGGAUCAGGUAGCUCUAGUGGUGCUCCGUGUAGGGGCUAGUUUCAGUAGAACAAGGGUUGUUCUUUCAGGCCUCCACAGCUAGCUCGCUUAGAGUACCGUGGGUCAUCUUCUGGUAGGAGUUAUCAGGGCUCCGAGUAGGGUCAGCCAUCUCUGAGUGCACUUCCAGCGCAAAGUUCAUCUCAUGCCCUAUCUGUUCAGGGUUAAUGCCUGCCGAGUUCUUAAGCGAGCCACUCUAGUCCGAGGGGUUCCCUUCACUCCCAGCCCUCAGUGCCAGGGAGCUGUUAUGAGUGUGGUGAGUUUGGGCAUAUGCAGAGGGAGUGUCCCCGCCGUGCAUUCAAUUCAUCUAAGCAGAGGGGCUUGCCCUCAUCUUUUGGCCCAAUGUCUUCAGCACCCGCCCAGCCGGCUAGGGGUGAGGGUUAGGUAGUUAGGGGUCGCCUCAAAAGGGGAUGCCGAUCCGGUGGUGGACACACUCGUUUCUACGCUAUUCAGGGCAGGUCAGAUGCUGUUCUUUGGAUGCUGUUAUCACAUGUAUUAUUUCAGUUUGCCACAUGGAUGCCUUAGUCUUAUUUGAUCCCGGAUCCACUUAUUCCUAUGUAUCUUCUUACUUUUCUCAUCAUUUGGGUACUACCCGAGGGUGUCUUGCGUUACCUAUGCACGUAUCUACCCCAAUGGGCGAUACUAUUAUUGUAGACCACGUGUAUCGGUCCUGUCUUGUCACUAUUGGGGGUCUGGAGACCCGAGUUGACUUGCUGCUAUCGAUCAUGGUGGAUUUUGAUUUUAUUAUGGGCAUGGAUUGGCUAUCCCCGUGCUUUGCUAUUCUAGACUGUCACGCUAAGAAAGUUGCACUGGCUAUGCCGGGUAUUCCGAGGAUCGAGUGGCGUGGUACAACUGAUUAUGUACCCAGCAGGGUAAUCUCUUUCUUAGAGGCCCAUCGGAUGGUUAGGAAGAUAUAUAUAUAUAUAUAUAUAUAUAUAUAUAUANNNNNNNNNNNNNNNNNNUAUAUAUAUAUAUCAUAUUUAGCAUUUGUGAGGGAUGUUGAAGCUGAGGCUCGUAGUCUUGAUUUGGUUCCCGCGGUUAGGGAAUUUUUUUAUGUGUUUCCAGCAGACCUGUCGGGCAUGCCGCCGGAUAGGGAUAUUGACAUCGGUAUUGAUUUAGUGUCGGGCACUCAGCCAAUCUCUAUUCUUCCCUAUCACAUUGCACCAGCAGAGCUAAAGUAGUUGAAGUAGCAGCUGCAUGAACUCCUAGAUAAGGGGUUCAUUCGCCUGAGUGUGUUGCCAUAGGGUGCAAUGCAUAGAAGAAGGAUGGCACAAUGAGAAUGUGCAUUGUUUACAGACAGUUGAACAAAGUGACAGUGAAGAACAAGUAUCCACUACCCCGUAUUAAGGAUUUGUUUGACCUGAUUUAGGGGGAAAAGGUAUUCUCUAAUAUUGAUCUCCAUUCAGGCUAUCACAAGCUCAAGAUUAGGGACUCUGGUAUCAUGAAGAUAGCCUUCAGGACGAGAUAUGGGAAUUAUGAGUUUCUGGUUAUGUCAUUUGGGCUGACUAAUGCUCCAGUCGUAUUCAUGCAAUUGAUGAACAAUUUAUUUCGGCCGUAUCUAGAUUCAUUUGUGAUAGUGUUUAUUGACGAUAUUCUGGUGUACUCGAGUAGCCAGGAGGAGCACGCGCAACACUUGAGGGUGGUAUAAUAGAGGUUAAGAGAGCAGAAGCUUUAUGCAAAGUUCUCUAAGUGUGAGUUCUUGCUUAGUUCCGUGGCUUUUCUGGGACACGUGGUGUCCAGUGAUCGUAUUCAGGUUGACCCAAAGACGAUUGAGGCGGUGCAUUAUUGGCCCAGGCCGUCCUCAGCUACUGAGAUUCGGAGUUUCCUCGGUUUGGCAGGUUAUUAUAGCAGGUUCGUUCAGGGUUUUUCAUCUAUUGCUUUGACUUUGAUGAAGUAGAUGCAGAAGAAUGUUCCAUUUGCGUGGUCGGAUGUAUGCGAGGAGAGCUUCCAAAAGCUCAAGUCAGCUUUGACCAUAGCUCCGGUACUAGUAUUGCAAUCAGCUUCAGGAUCUUACUCGGUGUAUUGUGAUGUUUUGAGAGUUGGGAUCAGAUGUGUAUUGAUGCAGGAGGGUAGAAUUAUUGCGUAGGCUUCGCGUCAUUUAAAGCCCCAUGAGAAGAACUACCAUGUUCAUGACUUAGAGUUGGCUGCUAUAGUUCAUGCGGGAUUGGCUGUGUAUUGAUGCAGGAGGGUUGAGUGAUUGCAUAUGCUUCUCGGCUGUUGAAGCCCCAUGAGAAGAACUACCUUGUUCAUGACUUAGAGUUGGUUGCUAUUGUUCAUGCCUUGAAGAUUUGGAGGCAGUAUCUAUAUGGCGUAUCUUGUGAGGUGUUCAUGGACCAUCACAGUCUUCAACACUUGUUUAAGCAGAAGGAUCUCAAUUUGAGACAGCGAAGAUGGCUUGAGUUACUUAAAGAUUAUGAUAUUACCAUUUUGUAUCAUCAGGGGAAGGCCAAUGUAGUGGCUGAUGCUUUGAGCCGGAAGGCUAUUAGUAUGGGUAUCUUGGCGUACAUUCCAGUUGGGGAGAGGCCCCUUGCAGUUGAUGUUCAGGCCUUGGACAAUCGGAUAGUGAGGCUAGAUAUUUCAAAGCCCAGCCGGGUGUUGGCUUGUGUGGUUUCACGAUCUUCUUUGUAUGAGCGUAUCAAGGAGCACCAGUAUGAUGACCCGAUAACCGGAUGGUGAGGUUAGAUAUUUUUGAGCCUAGUAAGGUGUUGGAUUAUGUGGUUUCCCAAUCUUCUUUGUAUGAUCGCAUUAGGGAGCGCUAGUAUGAUGACCCGUAUUUGCUUGUCCUAAAGGAUAGGGUCCAACAUGAUGAUGUUAAAUAUGUGACUAUUGGUGAUGAUGGUCUGUUGAGAAUGCAUGGCCGGAUUGGCGUGCCCAAUGUGGAUGGGCUCCGAGAGUUGAUAUUAGAGGAGGUCCGCAGCCCGCGAUAUUCCAUUCAUCCGAAAAAUGUACCAGGGUUUAAGACAACAUUACUGGUGGAGGAUAAUGAAAAAGAAUAUUGUGAGUCAUGUGGCUCGGUGUCUUAAUUCAGCAGGUCAAGUAUGAACAUUAGAGACCUGGUGGUGUACUUCAGCAGAUGGAUAUUCCGGAGUGGAAAUGGGAGUGGAUUACUAUGGACGUUGUGAGUGGUCUCCCUCGUACCUCGAAGAACUUUGAUUGUAUUUGGGUGAUUGUGGAUAGGCUAACUAAGUCUGCGCACUUCAUUCCGGUGUGUACUACCUAUUCUUCGGAGCGAUUAGCAGGAAUUUUCAUCCAGGAGAUUGUGCGGUAGCAUAGUGUUCUGGUUUCUAUUUUCUCAUAUAGGGGUACUCAGUUUACUUCCCAAUUCUUGAGGACUUUCAUCAGGAGUUGGGCACUCAGGUACAAAUGAGCAUUGCUUUUCAUCCUCAGACAGACGGACAGUCCGAGCAUACUAUCCAGAUAUUGGAAGACAUGUUGCACGCCUGUUUAUUGAUUUUAGAGGCUCUUGGGCUGAGUUUUGGCCACUUAUAGAGUUUUCUUAUAACAACAGCUAUCAGUCUAACAAUUAGAUGGCGCCGUAUGAGGCUUUAUAUGGGAGACGGUGUAGAUCUCCGGUUGGCUGGUUUGGGCCCGGCGAGGCUAGACUAUUGGGGAUAUAGUUAGUUCAGGAUGCCUUAGAGAAGGUGAAAAUGAUCAAGGAGAGACCUUAGAGAAGGGAUAUAGUUAGUUCAAGAGUUAUGCAGACCGGAAGGUUUGAGAUGUAUCUUAUAUGGUGGACGAGAAGGUGUUGUUGAAAGUUUCGCUUAUGAAAGGCGUUGUAAGGUUUGGAAAGAAACUGAAGCUGAGUCCACGAUUCAUUGGACCUUUUGAGAUACAUAGGAGGAUUGGGGAGGUGACCUAUAUGCUUGCUUUUCCACCCAUCUUGUCGGGAGUUCACCCGGUGUUCCAUGUUUCUAUGCUCAGAGAGUAUGUUAGGGACCUGUUUCAUGUAUUAGACUUCAUCACGAUACAGUUGGAUGAGGACUUGACCUACGAUGUGGAGCCAAUGGGUAUUUUGGGUCGUCAGGUUCGAAAGAUGAGAUCAAAGGACAUAGCUUUGGUGAAGGUGCAGUGGAGAGGUAGGCACGUGGAGGAGUCCACUUGGGAGACCGAGCAGGAGAUGCAGAGCUGAUAUCCUCACUUGUUUGAGACUCCAGGUAUGUUUCUUAACCCGCUCAGGGAUGAGCGUUUGUUUUAAUUGGUGACAAUGUGACGACCCGACUCGUCGUCACGUGUGUUACCGCCCCGUUUCCCCUCUAGUUAUGUUUCUUUAUGUUCCUAUAUCAGUAUUUGAGUUGGUCGGGUAGGUCUGGUUUGGUUUUGAUGAAAAUGCGACACUUAGUAUCUUAAAGGGGAACUUAUUUUGGAAAAGUCAACUGGAAGUUGACUAUUGGGUUAGAGGUCUCGGAUGUGGAUUCUGAUGACUCGGUUUGCUUCGCGGGAUGAUUUGUGACUUAGGAGUGAAAUCGAAAUUUAAUUUGGAGUCCCAAAGUAGAACUAGGCUUGAAUUGACUAAGUUUGAAUUUUGGCGGAUUCCGGUUGAUAGGUGAGAUUUUGAUCCGAGGGUCGGAAUGAGAUUUCGAGAGUUUUAGCAGCUUCGUUAGGUGAUAUUUGAUAUACGUGCAAAGUUUCAGGUCAUUCGGAGGUGUUCAGGUUGGGUUUUUGAUCGAAAAUGCAAUUCAGAAGUUAUUGAGAAAUUUAGGCUUUGAUUUGAUCAUAAUUGAAGAAUUUGAUGUUAACGUUAGCGUUUUAAUGAUUCGAGCGAGUUUGGAUGAAGUAUUAGGACUGGUAUGUGCUUUUCUUGACUAGGAUAUUGAUCGGUUGUAUCUAGAGGCUCUAACCUGCGACGCUAGAUCUUUUGGGCUGUUAUUACUUUUGUUAUGGUUUCCGCACUGUUCCUAUUAAUAUCAAACUGAGAAUUUUACGUUAAACUUGGUGUUUUAAGUUAAUGAUUUGGAUGGAAAUGUUCGAAUGGUCGGGCUUGCCUAACAAGGUGUUGGGCGCCGUCACGACUGAGGUUUCGGUCGUGAUAACCAUCUGCAACUUAACACCCCCAUCCCAUAUAACUAUCCAAACGCGCCCCAAACCCCUCAGACCCCCCCACCCCCGUAUUCACAUCUAUCUCUUCAAGCCCCAAACACUACCCGCCCCCAAACCCUUCAUCGCCUUUUCUGCCUUCCGCCGCCGAAAAUCACGUCACGGUGACGUCGGGUCUCCGAACCACUCCAAAAUUACACCAGAUAAUCCUCAACCCCUUCUUCUCAAAUCCACAAUUAGUAUUCACUAAAUCCCACACAAAUCUUACCAAUUUCAGAUUUGGUGGCAUGCAAAACCUAAGUCCCAUGAUUUUGAGUUUCCUACGACGAUUUAGGCUUGAAACUAGUGUUAAUCUUUUGUUCUUAACAAGAACAUUCGGUUAACAAGUAUUUCAAUUCAAAUCGUAGAAGGCCGGAGUUCCGCCUGAGCCAACUGCCUAUCCGCCUAAUAUAGGUAUCUUUGCUCCUCUUUUCCUCUUUCUAUUUUUCUUCUUCUUCUCCUCCUUUCUCUUCUUCUUUACUCUAUUUUUCUUUUCUUUGACCAAAAAAUGAAGAAGUUUAAAAAGCCUUAAUAUUUGGACCGAUAAGGUUUUCUCAUGCUUAGUCCAUAGGUUUUAGGAUUCCUUAAUCUAUGCAUCUAGCAUCAAUAUUAUCAGUUUGUUAAUUGUUUGGUUAGGGUUUGUUAAUUUGGUUUAGCUCUGUUUAAUCAAUUCAACUCGUAAAGCAAGUUUGGUUUAUUGUUAGACUUAGUUAUCUUUUUGUUGUGCUGAGUCACUAGAUUAGUAUGCUGAUUGGUUUAAUUAGUUUAACUUUUAAUAGCUUGGUUUAUUACUGCCUAAUUAGCCUAGGUUUAGUUUAUAUCCAUUCAUCUCGUAUUAUCAUCAUCAAAACUGUUAGUCUGAAGAACAUUUGUGGAGCUUUAUUAUAAAUUUGGCUCGUUUUAGAGGUUAGGAUUAUUUUAUGUUUUUAGAUGUUCACUUUUAGCUUUGUUAUUUGCUUUUGAUUUACUUAUUUGCUUGUUUGUUUCUCUUUGCCACUGUUUGUAAGUCAUUUAGAACUUGUAGGGGUCAAUUGAACAAUAAAGAAAAUCUAAGGGAAUUUUUUGAAGAGUGUGCAAGUAUGAAAUAGGAUAAAACUAUGUGGGGAAGUUCUAGAAUAGGGGUAACUGGCCUCAUUUGGUUAGAACGAAAUACUGAAACCAAUGAAGGACAUCCAGCUGUCCAAGUUGUUCAAAGAUGCCUUGUGGCUGAAGGGAAUAAUUCCUUAUUUUUCCAGCACAUGGCACUCUUAUAUAUAUAUAUACCUCCCCACCUUCAUUCAUUCAGGGAGAGCUUUUUAACCCUAAAAAAGACAAAAAUUUUUUUGCACUAUUUCAUUGGGAGUUGGUUCGAUUGCUUCUAAUUUUUCUUUAGCAAGAACUUAGAAAAACCUUCACUGAAUUUCUCGUUUUCUGGGCUUAAAUAUGGACUAAGAAAGCUGUGUAUUGUUGUUAUUUGCUACCAUCCUCACACCUUUGCUUUGCUGAAAUCCUUACUUCUUUUGCGUUGUUCUUGAUAUCCAGGUACUCUUGAACACUUGCAUGGCAAAUGAAUAUUAAAGCAUGUUUUUGAUCCUUGUUGUAAUAAGAAGUUGGUUUACCAAAAAUGUUAAUUUCCAGAUAUCCCCAUGAUUGGUGCUGC
rnacentral:lncRNA from 1 species